rnacentral:rRNA from 1 species
UGUCUUUUUGAAAAUAAUAUAAAGUCUAAUCUGCCCACUGAUUUAAAUUAAAGGGCUGCAGUAUAUUGACUGUACAAAGGUAGCAUAAUCAUUAGUCAUUUAAUUGAUGACUUGUAUGAAAGAUUGGAUGAAAUAUAAACUGUCUCUUAAUUAAAAAUAGAAUUUAAUUUUUUAAUUAAAAAGUUAAAAUAAUUUAAAAAGACGAGAAGACCCUAUAGAGUUUUAUAGAUAAAUUAAUUAAGGUUAUUUAUUAAAAUUAAAAUUAAUUUAUUUAUUCUAUUGGGGUGAUAGAAAAAUAUAUUUAACUUUUUUUUUUAUAAAAACAUUUAUAAGUGAUUAAAUGAUCCAUUAUUAAUGAUUAUAAGAAAAAAUUACCUUAGGGAUAACAGCGUAAUUUUUUUUUUUAGUUCACAUAAGAAAAAGAGUUUGCGACCUCGAUGUUGGAUUAAGAUAAAAUUUAAAUGCAGAAG